CAGUCGUACCUUCGGGUAAUCAGCCUUUCGGGUGCGAUUCUGUGGAGUGUGAGGAGCUUAAACACCUUCAUGUUUUGCAUAUUCGUACUCUUGGGUGUACUUGCCCGUGUGGUUGGUUAACAUCAAUUUUGGUGGUCAUAAAAUGACUGGAGGAAUGUAGCUUCGAUCUUGUAUUGAAGUGUUAUAGCCUUCGGUAGAUGUGAUGAUCGAGAUUGAGGAUUGCAACGGAUACCCUUCGGGGCUACCUGUCUGGUCUCUGAUCGUUGCUCUGGUGCCGAAAGCUUGCUUACGGUUAUCAAAGUCGAUGGUCAAUAGGUUAGAACGGGUUAAA
rnacentral:rRNA from 1 species